rnacentral:rRNA from 1 species
AUUGAACGCUGGCGGCAGGCCUAACACAUGCAAGUCGAACGAGUGGCGGACGGGUGAGUAAUGUCUGGGAAACUGCCCGAUGGAGGGGGAUAAUAACCGGAAACGGUAGCUAUUACUGCCUACCAUGGAAUGUGCCCAGAUGGGAUUAGUUAGUGGGUGGGGUAAGGGCUCACCUAGGCGACGAUCCCUAGCUGGUGUGAGAGGAGGACCAGCCACACUGGAACGGAGACACGGUCCAGACUCCAACGGGAGGCAGCAGUGGGGAAUAUUGCACAAUUGGCGCAAGCCUGAUGCAGCCAUGCCGCGUGGAUGAAGAAGGCCUUCGGGUUGUAAAGGACUUUCAGCGAGGAGGCGUUACUCGCAGAAGAAGCACCGGCUAACUCCGUGCCAGCAGCCGCGGUAAUAC